rnacentral:rRNA from 1 species
AACCGUUAUAACCGGCGAUUUCCGAAUGGGGAAACCCAGUGUGUUUCGACACACUAUCAUUAACUGAAUCCAUAGGUUAAUGAGGCGAACCGGGGGAACUGAAACAUCUAAGUACCCCGAGGAAAAGAAAUCAACCGAGAUUCCCCCAGUAGCGGCGAGCGAACGGGGAGCAGCCCAGAGCCUGAAUCAGUGUGUGUGUUAGUGGAAGCGUCUGGAAAGGCGCGCGAUACAGGGUGACAGCCCCGUACACAAAAAUGCACAUGCUGUGAGCUCGAUGAGUAGGGCGGGACACGUGGUAUCCUGUCUGAAUAUGGGGGGACCAUCCUCCAAGGCUAAAUACUCCUGACUGACCGAUAGUGAACCAGUACCGUGAGGGAAAGGCGAAAAGAACCCCGGCGAGGGGAGUGAAAAAGAACCUGAAACCGUGUACGUACAAGCAGUGGGAGCACGCUUAGGCGUGUGACUGCGUACCUUUUGUAUAAUGGGUCAGCGACUUAUAUUCUGUAGCAAGGUUAACCGAAUAGGGGAGCCGAAGGGAAACCGAGUCUUAACUGGGCGUUAAGUUGCAGGGUAUAGACCCGAAACCCGGUGAUCUAGCCAUGGGCAGGUUGAAGGUUGGGUAACACUAACUGGAGGACCGAACCGACUAAUGUUGAAAAAUUAGCGGAUGACUUGUGGCUGGGGGUGAAAGGCCAAUCAAACCGGGAGAUAGCUGGUUCUCCCCGAAAGCUAUUUAGGUAGCGCCUCGUGAAUUCAUCUCCGGGGGUAGAGCACUGUUUCGGCAAGGGGGUCAUCCCGACUUACCAACCCGAUGCAAACUGCGAAUACCGGAGAAUGUUAUCACGGGAGACACACGGCGGGUGCUAACGUCCGUCGUGAAGAGGGAAACAACCCAGACCGCCAGCUAAGGUCCCAAAGUCAUGGUUAAGUGGGAAACGAUGUGGGAAGGCCCAGACAGCCAGGAUGUUGGCUUAGAAGCAGCCAUCAUUUAAAGAAAGCGUAAUAGCUCACUGGUCGAGUCGGCCUGCGCGGAAGAUGUAACGGGGCUAAACCAUGCACCGAAGCUGCGGCAGCGACACUGUGUGUUGUUGGGUAGGGGAGCGUUCUGUAAGCCUGCGAAGGUG